GCAUGAUGGGAUCUUUCCGGCGUCCCAGACCUCGGUUUAUGAGUUCUCCGGUUCUGUCGGACCUCGCCCGGUUCCACGCCAGCUCGCCCCUCUCUGCAGAUCUCCAAUACCAGCGUGUGGAACAGUGUCCAAUCAGCUGUGAUCAAGGUGUUUCAAGGAGGAGCGCUGCAGAAUAACGAGCUCUUCACAUUAAAUGAGAGCAUCAGGUGGCUCCUUAAAACUGAGAUUGGCUCCUUCAUCACUGAAUACUUCCAG